ACACACACACACACACACACAUGCUCAAAGUUGCAUGCACAAAUCCUUUUGCAUGGCAACUCUGAAAGCAAAAAUUUUGAAGUUCAUUAAGUUGGAUUUACCAAUGAAUGUAGUAUGCCCUUCUAAAUGCAUGGCCUUUUUACAUAUAUUCACAUUUUUCUCGAAUUUCAUCUAUUUAAAAAUAGAUAAGGUUGACAAUCGCUUGUUAUUUCACUUGAUUGUUUUUGGUUUAAAUGCUGGUUCUUGGUCUUUGAUGGAAUUUAGCAUUUUGGCAAACUCAUAAAGUUGUCAGCUUGAAAAGAUUUGCUGAAACAUAAUAUUUUAUCUCUACCGAAAAGAUCCAAAUUUAAACUCAUGUAAAAGGAUUGUAAUAUGAAUUUUAUGGAGUAAUAUAGUGAAGUUCAUUUCUUUCACAUUUCAUUGGAAAGAGUUCAGCUAACAACAUGGUACUGGGUCAGCAAAAACAAGGUGUCACAUGCCCAUCCAUUUCAUAAGAACAGCAGUCUUUGGUUAGUGACAGUCUCCCAGAGUUAAUUGGCAGGGGAAUCCUUCCUCUCCUUUGCACCUUUUGUCUCCUGCUUUUUUUGUUCUUUUGGCAAUUCUGUUCUCUAUUUUGGAAUGAGUACAUAAAGGAUGCAUUUGGUUGCCAGAAUUGUCCAAGAGGGUGAGUUACUUUCCUGUGUUUAGUUUGCAUGGGAAUGUUGUAUUUAUGAGAAAGUUACUUUCCUAAACUAAUGAAUCCUACCAUAACUUUUUACGUGUACAUGGGAAGUACUUCAUCAUUUUAAAGGGUGAAAGUUGCAUUCCC
rnacentral:misc_RNA from 1 species